UAUGAGGGCCAGACUAUGAUAGUCAUGAGCCGAGAUGACCUUGGUACUAUCUCUUAUUUAUUUUAUUGUUUUAGGUUUUGAUCAUUGUGAAGUGAAUCUAUAAAAUAAAUCAGAGAUUGAUUUAUGAGUUAUUGAGUAUGUAAUUGGAGUAUUGUGUGGUUGGAUUAUUGUGAAAAAAUAUUGAGAGUUUGUUAUCACAUUUUACGGGAGAUUGAUUAUGGAUGGAAGAUUAUGAUUAUUGUUUAUUGAGAGUUGUGUGUUUUUCGAAGGAAGAAGUUUGUGAUUACAAAAAUUAUGUGAAGACAGAUUGUUUGGAGUAGAAGUCUAUUAUUUCUGAUGUUGGAUGGAAUUUAUGUAUUCCGAGUGGUCUUUAAAGAUAGUAUGAGAGUUGCGCUUUGUUGUUAUCAGUGAUUGUAGAGUACUAUUAGGAAGUGGAAAGCAUUGUAGUAUUCUUUGGUAUUUUUAGUGAUUCAGUAUAUGGUUAAUUGUGUGACUUUAAUAAGUAGAACUCAUGUACUUAGUCUUUCCCUAUAUUUGAAUCCCCUUUUAUAGGUUUAUUUUGAAAGAAAUUUGUAGAAUAAGUAAAACAAUAAUUAUAUUUUGGCACCGCUAUCGAGAAUUGAUAAUAGCAUUGAGUGUUAGAAACUAACUGCCAGAUGAGUAGAUAGGAAAUAGAAAGUAGAUUCAGUAGA
rnacentral:lncRNA from 1 species